UAAGGAUUAGAGCGUCGAAUGUUUGAUCAUAAUUACACAUGGUAUUUACGCAGGUAUCACUCCGCCAGAAAAGUAGAGACCUGUGGAUGUGUUUCAUGUUUCCAAAACAGACUUUUGCUGAGGUAUCACUCCGCCAGAAAAGUAGAGACCUGUGUAUGUGUUUCAUGUUUCCAAAACAGACUUUUGCUGAUGAGGUAUCACUCCGCCAGAAAAGUAGAGACCUGUGUAUGCGUUUCAUGUUUCCAAAACAGACUCUUCUGACCUCUCCCCGCCCAUCUCACCCACACCUUUCAUCCCCCAAGUGGCGAGGUCCAGUGUGGGGCGUCGCAUCAAUUACUCGAUGGACAAACACAUUCACCUCCGCUGGAGCAGAGCGACGACCGAACCAAACGGAACAAAUUGAAUCAAGAGGCAAAAAUCCCAGCUCUCCAAACCUAUAUACGGUCUUCUUUUCUGUCCACAAUUUUCUCCACUCGUACUCUUCCUGCCGUUCCCUCCUGAUCGGGCGGCCUCCCUGGAAGUCUCUUUCAGCCCACUGCGUCGCAAUCAUAAUAACUCCACACAGAAAACAAUGGCCUUCUCUUUUUAAUCUCCACUUUCAUGGAAGGGAAAGCCUCGGGGCUUGAGCCGUUUUAUCCUGUUACACCUCAGAAAGCGGCGCUACGUCGACGCCGCUGUGCAGUUCAGCCGCAGACUCUCAUCGAGCGGGACACUAACUGGUAACUGAACUCAAAGCAGCAAGGUUGAAACAAGGUUAUAAGAACCAUGAGACAAAAAAAAAAUCACUCACACAAUAGCCUUGAUCUCCAGUUGCUGCUGCUGCUGUUGUUGUUGUUGUUGUUGAUGUUGAUGCCCACGGCGGUGAGACCUGUUGUCAGGCUCUACCUCGCUCCUUUGGGGGUGGCUUCAAGGAGGGAAGAGACGAGAAUAUGACAUUUGUUGUGAGACAAAAAAGAGCAGUGUAGUAAGGGAGGACUCACACCAUUAACUAGAUCCACUAUGGACUGGACUCUCACACUAUUAUGUUAGAUCCACUAUGGACUGGACUCUCACUAUUAUGUUAGAUCCACUAUGGACUGGACUCUCACACUACUAUGUUAGAUCCACUAUUGACUGGACUCACACUAUUAUGUUAAAUCCACUAUGGAAUGGACUCUCACACUAUUAUGUUAGAUCCACUAUGGACUGGACUCUCACACUAUUAUGUUAGAUCCACUAUGGACUGGACUAUCACACUAUUAUGUUAGAUCCACUAUGGACUGGACUCACACUAUUAACUAGAGCCACUAUGCACUGGACUCUCGCACUAUUAUGUUAGAUCCACCAUGGACUGUACUCUCACAAUAUUAACUAGAUCCAUUGUGGACUGGACUCUCACUAUUAACUAAAUCCAAUAUUCACUGGACUCUCACUAUUAACUAAAUCACUGUGGACUGGACUCUCACACUAUUAACUACAUCCACUCCACUAUGGACUGGACUCACACUAUUAACUAGAUCCACCAUGGACUGGACUCUCAUACUAUUAUGUUAGAUCCACUAUGGACUGGACUCUCACACUAUUAUGUUAGAUCCACUAUGGACUGGACUCUCACACUAUUAACUAGAUCCACUCCACUAUGUACUGGACUCUCACUAUUAUGUUAGAUCCACUUUGGACUGGACUCUCACUAUUAUGUUAGAUCCACUAUGGACUGGACUCUCACUAUUAUGUUAGAUCCACUAUGGACUGGACUCUCACUAUUAUGUUAGAUCCACUAUGGACUGGACUCUCACACUAUUAACUAGAUCCACUCCACUAUGGAUUGGACUCUCACACUUUUAACAAUCGAAUGAGAAUGAGAACCCUUGGAGGGGACCGCCGAUGUGGGAACCCCCACACCCUGGGCGACCGGUGCAAUGGACGUUGAGUGGAUCUAGUUAAGAGUGUGAGAGUCUAGUCCAUAGUUGAUCUAACAUGAUAGUGUGAGAGUCCAGUCCAUAGUGGAUCUAACAUAAUAGUGAGAGUCCAGUCCAUAGUGGAUCUAACAUAAUAGUGUGGGAGUCCAGUCCAUAGUGGAUCUAACAUAAUAGUGUGAGAGUCCAGUCCAUAGUGGAUCUAACAUAAUAGUGUGAGAGUCCAGUCCAUAGUGGAUCUAACAUAAUAGUGUGAGAGUCCAGUCCAUAGUGGAUCUAACAUAAUAGUGUGAGAGUCCAGUCCAUAGUGGAUCUAACAUAAUAGUGUGAGAGUCCAGUGCAUAGUGGAUCUAGUUAGUUAGUACUGUAUGAUGGCAAAAAUUGUAACCUGGACCCGAUUUUUUUCCUGAAAAUUUGACCGCUUUCAAGUGUUUUUUUUACGCAUGUUUCUUCCAUUCAUAUUAUUUUGUACAGCCUACCCACAGGUGCAGAAUGUCGUUGAAAUCCAUGAAAAAGAUAACACUUUCAAAUUGAAAAGUCCGUAUCCAUCCAGGUGGCACUAGAGGUUGUAGUCGUGGUGAUCCUGUGUGUGUAUGCACGCUACAACAGCUGCUUCUUCCUGGUUGGAUGUCAAUAAUAAUCUGUAGGUUAAACUUUGUUUUACUCAUUUACGGUAAAAAAAAAGUGCAUUCGCGAUGUUACGAGCAGGGCUGUUCCAAGCUGAUAUUGAUAUUGGAUAUCGGUCCGAUAUCAGCAAAAAAUAAGUAUCAAAUGAUAUCGACUUGCAUUGAAAAUCUGCGAUACAAGCUCCGAUACAGAGCAUUAAUACAUCUACCAGAGUGUAUCAUGACAGACAGCAUACAUUGUGUAUACUGUAUAGUUGUGUACUACAUACCUAAUAUUGUUCUCUCUUUGACCAAUUUCCUAACCUUCUACACUACAAAAUAAUUAUUUGCUUUUAAGCGUGAAAGUUAGUGUUUAAUACCUAUCAAUGUUUAGUUUGACAAAUUUCACUUGAUUAAAACUUCUAGAACACCGCACAGUACAAAACGAUAAAAUAGUAUGAUUCUUGCAACAUUGUAUCAGAUAAAUAUCAUAUUGCCAACACUCAAGGCUCUGAUAUCGGUAUCGUAUCGGAAGUGAAAAGUUGUAUCGGGACACUCUCGGUUAAGAGUUGUGUUUAGUAACUUUAGUUCAUACACUAUAAUGCCAAAAGUAUUUGGCCACCCAUCCGAAUGAGGAGAAUCAGGCGUCCUAAUCACUUAUCCCGGUGUAUAAAAUCAAGCACUUAGGCAUGGAGACUGUUUCCACAAACAUUUGUGAAAGAAUGGGCCGCUCUCAGUGAUUUCCAGCGUGGAACUGUCAUAGGAUGCCACCUGUGCAACAAAUGCAGUCCUGACAUUUCCUCGCUCCUAAAUAUUCCAAAAUCAACUUUGCUAUAAAAAAAGUGAAGUUUGGGAACAACAGCAACUCAGCCCCCAAGUGGUAGGCCGUGUAAACUGACAGAGAGGGAUCAGUGGAUGCUGAAGCGCAUAGUGCAAAGACUUUCUGCACAGUCAGUUGCUACAGAGCUCCAAACUUCAUGUCACCUUCCAAUUAGCCCACGUACAGUACGCAGAGAGCUUCAUGGAAUGGGUUUCCAUGGCCGAGCAGCUGCAUCCAAGCCAUACAUCACCAAGUCCAAUUCAAAGCGUGGGAUACGGCAGAGUAAAGCACGUGGCCACUGGACUCUAGAGCAGUGGAGACGCCUUCUCUGGACUGCUGAAUCAUGCUUUUC